UACGGGGGGGGCAAGCGUUGUUCGGAAUUACUGGGCGUAAAGGGCCAGUAGGCGGCCAACUAAGUCCGACGUGAAAUCCCCAGGCUUAACCGGGGAACUGCAUCUGAUACUGGAUGGCUUGAGAUUGGGAGAGGGAUGCGGAAUUCCAGGUGUAGCGGUGAAAUGCGUAGAUAUCUGGAGGAACACCGGUGGCGAAGGCGGCAUCCUGGACCAACACUGACGCUGAGGAGCGAAAGCCAGGGGAGCAAACGGG
rnacentral:rRNA from 1 species